CGAACGCUGGCGGCGUGCCUAAUACAUGCAAGUCGAGCGAACCAAUUGAAAGCCUAGCUUUCAUGAGGUUAGCGGCGGACGGGUGAGUAACACGUGGGUAACCUGCCCUAUAGACUGGGAUAACUCGCGGAAACGCGUGCUAAUACCGGAUAAUACAUCAAAGUGCAUGCUUUGAUGUUGAAAGAUGGUUCUGCUAUCACUAUAGGAUGGGCCCGCGGCGAAUUAGCUUGUUGGUGGGGUAACGGCCUACCAAGGCGACGAUGCGUAGCCGACCUGAGAGGGUGAUCGGCCACACUGGGACUGAGACACGGCCCAGACUCCUACGGGAGGCAGCAGUAGGGAAUCUUCCACAAUGGGCGAAAGCCUGAUGGAGCAACGCCGCGUGAGCGAAGAAGGUCUUCGGAUCGUAAAGCUCUGUUGUAAGGGAAGAACAAGUGCAGUAGUAACUGGCUGCACCUUGACGGUACCUUACUAGAAAGCCACGGCUAACUAC
rnacentral:rRNA from 1 species